rnacentral:rRNA from 1 species
ACGGAAGGCAGCAGUGGGGAAUAUUGGACAAUGGGGGAAACCCUGAUCCAGCGACGCCGCGUGAGUGAAGAAGUAUUUCGGUAUGUAAAGCUCUAUCAGCAAGGAAGAAAAUGACGGUACUUGACUAAGAAGCUCCGGCUAAAUACGUGCCAGCAGCCGCGGUAAUACGUAUGGAGCAAGCGUUAUCCGGAUUUACUGGGUGUAAAGGGAGCGUAGACGGCAAAGCAAGUCUGAAGUGAAAUGCCGGGGCUUAACCCCGGAACUGCUUUGGAAACUGUUUAGCUAGAGUGCAGGAGAGGUAAGCGGAAUUCCUAGUGUAGCGGUGAAAUGCGUAGAUAUUAGGAGGAACACCAGUGGCGAAGGCGGCUUACUGGACGAUAACUGACGUUGAGGCUCGAAAGCGUGGGGAGCAAACAGGAUUAGAUACCCUGGUA